CAGAGCCCGCCAGCCGCUAAGCCAGGGCCACACCUGGGGGUGAUUUCAAGCCUCACCUCCAGGAGGCACCAUGGUCUCUCUGGGCUAAUCUCUGGCUCCCUCGCACUAACUCUUGCUCUCACCCAGCUAAUCUCUGCCUCGCCCUGGCUGCCCCGGGGGCUGAUCACUAACAGCCAAACCCCCAUCUGGGGGCCCAGGGCUCCCCAUCUGGCUUUGGCCGGCUCUUAGUUAACCUCUCCUUCCCCUGGACUAACUCCCGCCUCCCUGGUCUGUUCCUUUCAGCAGAAACUAAUGGCUUGUGGGUUUCUCUCUGACUAACGACAGGUGUAACAGCCCUCGGUCGGUACCAUGAUUGUUAACAGCUUGGAUGGCAGCAUGGCUGGG
rnacentral:lncRNA from 1 species